rnacentral:rRNA from 1 species
AUUGAACGCUGGCGGCAGGCCUAGCACAUGCAAGUCGGACGGUAGCACAGAGGAGCUUGCUCUUCGGGUGACGAGUGGCGGACGGGUGAGUAACGUCUGGGAAACUGCCCGAUGGAGGGGGAUAACUACUGGAAACGGUAGCUAAUACCGCAUAACGUCGCAAGACCAAAGUGGGGGACCUUCGGGCCUCACACCAUCGGAUGUGCCCAGAUGGGAUUAGCUAGGAGGUGGGGUAAUGGCUCGCCUAGGCGACGAUCCCUAGCUGGUCUGAGAGGAUGACCAGCCACACUUGAACUGAGAAACGGUCCAGACUCCUACGGGAGGCAGCAGUGGGGAAUAUUGCACAAUGGGCGCAAGCCUGAUGCAGCCACGCCGCGUGUAUGAAGAAGGCCUUCGGGUUGUAAAGUACUUUCAGCGGGGAGGAAGGCGGUGAAGUUAAUAACUUCACCGAUUGACGUUACCCGCAGAAGAAGCACCGGCUAACUCCGUGCCAGCAGCCGCCGUAA